rnacentral:rRNA from 1 species
AGAGAGAGACAUGCGCGCAUAUCAAUAAGCGGAGGAAAAGAAACUAACAAGGAUUCCCUUAGUAACGGCGAGUGAAGCGGGAAGAGCUCAAAUUUGAAAUCUUCAAGGUUCUACCUUGACGAAUUGUAGUUUAUAGAAGUGUUUUCUGUUAGUAGAGUGGCAAAAGUUCUUUGGAAUAGGACAUCAUAGAGGGUGAGAAUCCCGUAUUUGGUCAUUCCUCCUAGCGUUGUGAUACACUUUCAACGAGUCGGAUUGUUUGGGAAUGCAGUCCAAAAUGGGUGGUAAAUUUCAUCUAAAGCUAAAUAUUGGCGAGAGACCGAUAGCGAACAAGUACCGUGAGGGAAAGAUGAAAAGAACUUUGAAAAGAGUGUUAAACAGUACGUGAAAUUGUCAAAAGGGAAGCGUUUGACACCAGUGUUGUUUUUCCGAAAAUCAAUUACGAAUGUUUUAGUUUUUGAGGAGUUAUGACUUCAUCGGCUUGCUCCUUUCUUUACGAAACUUUCUUAAUGCACUUUUCGGUUAACAAGUCAACAUCAAUUUCUUUUGUUGUAAAAGGGUAUGAGGAAGGUGGCUUUCUUUUCGGAGAAAGUGUUUAUAGCCUCGUGCCUCUGCAAUCGGAGAGAUUGAGGUCUGCAGCGUAGAUCCUUCGGGGUUAGAUACAUUUGUGCUAAGUUAUAGCUUUUCAUAGACAACUUGUUGACUAUGUUUAGUCUUGUAGCUUACUCGCUUAUGCUAUUUUACCUACGCUUAGGAUGUUGAUAGUCACAGCGUGUAC